UCCCUGGUGGCUCAGUCGGUAAAGAAUCUGCCUGCAGUGCAGGAGACUCGGGUUUGAUUCCUGGGUUGGGAA
rnacentral:tRNA from 1 species